rnacentral:rRNA from 1 species
UACGGAGGAUGCGAGCGUUAUCCGGAUUUAUUGGGUUUAAAGGGUGCGUAGGCGGGAUGCCAAGUCAGCGGUAAAAAUGCGGUGCUCAACGCGGUCGAGCCGUUGAAACUGGCGUUCUUGAGUGGGCGAGAAGUAUGCGGAAUGCGUGGUGUAGCGGUGAAAUGCAUAGAUAUCACGCAGAACUCCGAUUGCGAAGGCAGCAUACCGGCGCCCUACUGACGCUGAGGCACGAAAGCGUGGGUAUCGAACAGG